GAGAGCAGAGCUGAGAGA
rnacentral:miRNA from 1 species